UUUUCGGAUGGAAGUUGAAUUGACUGAGUGGCGGACGGGUGAGUAACGCGUGGGUAACCUGCCUUGUACUGGGGGACAACAGUUAGAAAUGACUGCUAAUACCGCAUAAGCGCACAGUAUCGCAUGAUACAGUGUGAAAAACUCCGGUGGUACAAGAUGGACCCGCGUCUGAUUAGCUAGUUGGUAAGGUAACGGCUUACCAAGGCGACGAUCAGUAGCCGACCUGAGAGGGUGACCGGCCACAUUGGGACUGAGACACGGCCCAAACUCCUACGGGAGGCAGCAGUGGGGAAUAUUGCACAAUGGGCGAAAGCCUGAUGCAGCGACGCCGCGUGAGUGAAGAAGUAUUUCGGUAUGUAAAGCUCUAUCAGCAGGGAAGAAAAUGACGGUACCUGACUAAGAAGCCCCGGCUAACUACGUGCCAGCAGCCGCGGUAAUACGUAGGGGGCAAGCGUUAUCCGGAUUUACUGGGUGUAAAGGGAGCGUAGACGGUAAAGCAAGUCUGAAGUGAAAGCCCGCGGCUCAACUGCGGGACUGCUUUGGAAACUGUUUAACUGGAGUGUCGGAGAGGUAAGUGGAAUUCCUAGUGUAGCGGUGAAAUGCGUAGAUAUUAGGAGGAACACC
rnacentral:rRNA from 1 species